rnacentral:lncRNA from 1 species
ACUGUAAGUUGUGUAGCUGUGCUAAACCAUACCCAGUUUUUGAACCAACAAUGAAAAUCGUCAAUGUUUUCAGGCUAGUUAACUGCCCAAUUCUAAAAGGAGCUGAUAUCAAUGAAUGGCAAUUUUUAAUCAUGAGAUGUCGAAGGUCCUUCAAUUUUGUAAAUUGUUUGGGAAAACUAGAUAGCAAAUGGCAACGUUCAAGUUUUAGUGUUUGCAAUUUCUGCAGUCUACAAACAGACCCAGGCAAGGUUGUGAUGUUACUAUCAUAAAUUUCCAAGUACCUCAAAUGCACUAAACUCUUCAAUAAUGAGAGUUCAUUUGAACGUGUAAGCAAAACUCGAAGAGAGGUGCUUGACAGAAACACAUCUAAAUUCUUGGAGGGUGGUUUAUACUCAAGAAAGGUUCGCAAGGAAUCAACUUUUUGGAAGGGAAUUAUGUGGUCAUAUUUUGAUUUUAGAAAAAAGAAACCUAUAUUUGGUUUUUUAUCAAAGAUACUUAAAUGGUGAACGCCAAUUGACACAUUAGUCGAAUCUGAAACAUCAUAAGAAAUACAUUCUUUUUCCAUAAUAGACUGAGCUAAAUCAUGGAUAAAAUCAUGCAUUCGGAAUGUAAUGUUACCUGCUAAAUCAGAUUUAACUUCUUGAAAAAAUGAUCUUUGCCACAAUUGAUUCCAUACCUCAUCACCAACGUGCUCCAUCUGUAAAUUUCCUCUAGAUGUAACAAGACCAUUAGCCAUCCAAAGAUGAAUGAGAUUUUCCUUAACCAUUUCAAAACCCUUAGGAAAAACAGCACAGAAAGCAAAACAUGGUCUCAAUGACAAUUUCAAGUUAAAGUAGCUUAUUCUCAAAGCAGACAUGAUAGAAUCAACCUCAGGCAAAUUCCAAAAUUCACUUUCCAGUACAGAAAUCCAUUGAUGUUCGUUGCUUGUACAGCACAAACUGCUACCCAAUACUUUAGCAGCAAGAGGUGAACCCACACAUUUUCUCACUAACUUUUUGCCUAUUGCCACAAGCUCUGCACGCUCUUCUCGAUUUUCUCCAAAAGCUUGUUGUUUGAACAAAGACCAGAUGUCAUCAUCAGAUAAGCUUGCUAAAUGAUGAGCAUCAGAAGUUCCCAUGAUGGAUGCAACAAUGUCAAGUCUGGUAGUGAUCAAAAUUGAUGCACCUUUCUUUCCAUUUAGCAACAAAGACUUUAACUUAUUCCAUUUCUCUUUGUCUUCAGUCCACACAUCAUCAAGAACAAGUAAAUACCUAUUUUUUUGCAAAAUUUCUUGAACCUUUUGUUGCAUUGACUCUAAAGACGAGAGAUGUGGAUUUUUUCCAAUGGUGUUUUCUAUGAUGGACUCUAAAACUUUCAUCGCAUUGAUAUCACCAGAAACACACACCCAUAUUUUCAAGUCAAAAUGUGUCUUUACCCUUUCAUCAUUGAAGACUGUUUGAGCAAGUGUUGUUUUUCCAUAUCCACCGUGGCCAACAAUAGAAUAGACAGAGAGUUCUUCACUGUCACCAGCGUGCCGUAGAAGAAACUCUACAAUAUGCUCUUUAUCUUUGUCUCUUCCAUAUACUUUGGAUUCAGUGAUGACAGAGGUAGUUUGCCGCCGCCCUUCAUCUUCUGGUUGGCGCUCGAUGACCCCCACAUGUAAUCCGAACUUCAUCCUUUCUUCAGCAAUAUCGUCGAUCUCUUUAGCAAUCUCCUUCAUCCUCUUUCCAAUGUUGCGACGAACCAAAAUCUUCAUAGGAUGGAAACGAGUGAUCCGCUUGUUGUUACCAUGUGCUUUUAAGGUUAUUGAACAUUCAUCCAAUAUAUCAUCAAGCACAUAAGCAGCAUCACGCAGUUGCUGUAGCCACUCUUUGACAGCAUCGUUUGUUAUUUGCUUCUUUUCAGCAUCUUUUAGGACAGCACGGAUUAAAGUGAGCUUUCUAGAUAGGCUUUGGGUCAAUUCUCCAACACCCAAAUAGGUAGCAAGCUCCUCUUGUACAAAUGAUCCGAGGUUUUGAAUCAAGAUUCCAAGUAAAGCAUCAGCCAUUUUCAGAUGUGAGAACAGAAAUGAAUCAAAGUUGUUUGGAUUGGAGAUGAUUUUGCUCUAGGAAGAUGAAAUAUGAGUUGUUAUUUGUUUUCAAAGAUUAUAUAUUAAAUCAGUGGAUGUAGUUCUUCUGCAACAUGUCAAAAUUGGCUGCUAUAGAAAAAUAAAUAAUUAGUGAAUGACAGUGGGAAAAAACAAGUGUUGAAGGCACAUGGCCAUGAAAGGGAAAAAAACAAAAUUGGAAAACUUAUCUUAUGAAACAACAUCAUGCUCGUUCAUUUGUUCUUGUGUGGCCUAGAUUUCAUCAAAGAAAAUCCAAUACCAAAUAAUUGUAAUACUAAUUAUUAUUUAAUAUUUCAAGUUGGCAGUGUACCUGAAGUGCAAGUGGAUCAAGUAUGGUGGGAUGGCAUCAAGUUGGCAAGUGACACAUGAUUGACGGUGGUUGUGUUUUGUUUUUGAGAAGAAGAAGAAGAGUCUGCUACGAGAGUAGCACUGAACGUGUUCUAUUUUUGUUCCUUUCUAUUAUUUUAUUUGAUUUUUGUUUUUAAAAAAAGAAGUGACACAUGGUGCAAUAUUACUGGCUAUGUCAUGUGACAUAGCCCACCACAAUGUUACGGAAGUGCAAUCCCUUAAAAUAUGGUUCAUUUUAUUCUAUUCGUGUAUCUGUUAAGAUAGUUGUCAUGUACUAAUCAUGAUAAAUAUUAUUUCUGGAUACCGUGCAUACAUAAUUUAGAUCAUCCUUAAUUAUAUGUGUAACCCACGAUGCGGGAUAAAUACACUAGUAAAUAAAUAUAUAUAAACAGUAAAAUUGAAGACAACAGCGCACAUCUGAGCGUUACACAUCUAUAUCUUCAAUUAUGUUGUCAAAAUCUUGUUUCACGACGAAGUCAAACAUAAUAUCCGAAUAUUGCGUCGAUGCUGGCUUUUUAUCCUCUGCACACAUUGUUCAAUAUAAGUAUAAAAUCACACCAUAUUUGAUAUAGUAAAAAAAGUGAAAGGAAUAAAAUAAAGAGAUUCAUUCAAUUAAAUUACCACUAAUUGUUGGUUCUGCAUCAGAUUGCAAUUUGUAAUUCAAUUCAACUUCAGGAAUGUGAGCUAUCUUAUGCCAAUCUUCACCUAUACCUCUCUUGCAUCUCUUCUCCAACUUAGGGCAACCACAAAUUCUUAACUUUUGCAAGUUUUGGAGUUGCUGAAAGUUGUCUGGCAGUGAACUUAACUUUGAAGAGGAGCUAAAUAGUGGACUGAUUUCUAAUACUUGAAGAGAAGUCAUGGCACCCAAACAGUCUGGCAAGGAUGUUCGUGAAUGAAAAUCAAACAGACACAAUCUUUUCAGUGAGGGGAUGCCUUCUAUGCCAUCUAGUAUGUUUUCAUUACAAUCCGAGAGUCGCAGUUCACGGAGGGAAGUUAGACUGUUCAUGUUAUGUGGAAAAACAAUUUGUUUACAGAAAAGGAUUUUAAGAGUCUCGAGACAAGUUAGGUGUUUGAUACCCUCAGACAGGGAUUUGAAUUUAUUGCAGCUAGAAACAUACAAAUUUCGAAGAGAACUCAAACCUUGCAACAAGUGCUCUGAAAAUGACUCCAAUUCAUCACAUAAAUCAAUUCUAAGAAAUUCUAAUGCACUAAGAGUACUGAGUUCAACAGGUAAUUCCUUGAGUUCUUUAAAGCCUGAUAUCCAAAGUGACUUAAGAUUGUUACCAGCAAUUCCCCGUGAAGCUACAUCUUCAUUGCAAUUGUUGUAAAAAAUGGACUUCAAUAAUUCUUCAUUUCCUCGACUAGCAUAAAGUGACUCCAUAGAUGGAAGGGACUGCAAUGCAAGUUUAGGGACAUCUGUUAUAGCUAACUUCAAAAGCUGUUGUAGCAUCUCUACUCCUUCGACUUUCAACACCCUCUCUAAAUUUGGUAAGUCAGCCAAAGUAAAUUUUUUCAGUGACGUAAAAGCCUUCUCAGUCGUAGGUUCAUACAAACUAUCAUCAAUGUACUUUAAAUCUCUCAUUCUAGAUACAGAAAGGAAAGUUAAGCAUGGUAAUUUACCAAAUGGAGGAAUCUGCCUGCAGUUUUUACAGUCAUAGAGAAUAAUACUAACUAGACCUUUUAGAAUAGAAGUAUUUCUCAUCCAAUGAGGAAAAUGUGCUCCCAUAUAACCCUGCAACCCAAAACUCUUUAGACCUGAAUGAGGCUCAAGAGUUUCUAUUACUUGCUCAGCAUGAAUACUACUAACUUGUGAAUUAGUAUAAUCACCCCAUGACAAAUAUAAGCGAUUUAAGUCCUUCUUGCCAAUCAAAUUAGCUUUUCUUGCAUCCUCUUCAAUCGACACUUUCUGAAGGCCUUUAAUGUGUAGCUUUCCUCCUAAUUGUAAGUUGUGUAGCUCUGCUAAACCAAACCCAGUUUUUGAACCAACAAUGAAAAUGGUCAAUGUUUUCAGACAAGUUAACUCCCCAAUUUUAAAAGGAGUUGAUUUCAAUGAACUGCAAUUUUUAAUCAUGAGAUGUCGAAGGUCCUUCAAUUUUGUAAAUUGUUUGGGAAAAUCAGAUAGAUGAUGACAUUUUUCAAGUUUUAGUGUUUGCAAUUUCUGUAGUCUGCAAACAGAACCAGGCAAGGUAAUGAAGUCACAAGAUGAAAGUUCCAAGUACCUCAAAUGCAUU